GAACGUACCUUUCAGUGGGGGAUAACGUAGCGAAAGUUACGUUAAUACCGCAUAUUCUGUGAGCAGGAAAGCAGGGGAUCUUAGGACCUUGCGCUGAUUGAGCGGCCGAUAUCAGAUUAGCUAGUUGGUGAGGUAAAGGCUCACCAAGGCGACGAUCUGUAGCGGGUCUGAGAGGAUGAUCCGCCACACUGGAACUGAGACACGGUCCAGACUCCUACGGGAGGCAGCAGUGGGGAAUUUUGGACAAUGGGGGCAACCCUGAUCCAGCCAUGCCGCGUGAGUGAAGAAGGCCUUCGGGUUGUAAAGCUCUUUCGGCCGGGAAGAAAUCGCAUGGGUUAAUACCCUGUGCGGAUGACGGUACCGGCAUAAGAAGCACCGGCUAACUACGUGCCAGCAGCCGCGGUAAUACGUAGGGUGCGAGCGUUAAUCGGAAUUACUGGGCGUAAAGCGUGCGCAGGCGGUUUUGUAAGACAGGCGUGAAAUCCCCGGGCUCAACCUGGG
rnacentral:rRNA from 1 species